GUGCCGCCGACACCGCGG
rnacentral:misc_RNA from 1 species